rnacentral:rRNA from 1 species
GACGAACGCUGGCGGUGUGCUUCACACAUGCAAGUCGAACGAGGUAGCAAUACCUAGUGGCGGACGGGUGAGUAACGCGUGGGAAUCUGCCCAUAGGUGGGGGAUAACUAGCCGAAAGGUUAGCUAAUACCGCAUAUGCCGAGAGGUAAAAGGAGUAAUCCGCCUUUGGAUGAGCCCGCGUCCGAUUAGCUAGUUGGUAGGGUAAAAGCCUACCAAGGCUACGAUCGGUAGCUGGUCUGAGAGGAUGAUCAGCCACAAUGGGACUGAGACACGGCCCAUACUCCUACGGGAGGCAGCAGUGGGGAAUUUUACGCAAUGGGGGGAAACCCUGACGUAGCGACACCGCGUGAACGAAGAAGCCCUUUGGGGUGUAAAGUUCUGUCGGCUGGAACGAAAAAAAUGACGGUACCAGCAAAGGAAGCAUCGGCUAAACUACGUGCCAGCAGCCGCGGUAAAU